rnacentral:rRNA from 1 species
AUUGAACGCUGGCGGCAUGCCUUACACAUGCAAGUCGAACGGCAGCACGGGUGCUUGCACCUGGUGGCGAGUGGCGAACGGGUGAGUAAUACAUCGGCACAUGUCCUGUAGUGGGGGAUAGCCCGGCGAAAGCCGGAUUAAUACCACAUACGAUCUACGGAUGAAAGCGGGGGACCUUCGGGCCUCGCGCUAUAGGGUUGGCCGAUGGCUGAUUAGCUAGUUGGUGGGGUAAAGGCCUACCAAGGCGACGAUCAGUAGCUGGUCUGAGAGGACGACCAGCCACACUGGGACUGAGACACGGCCCAGACUCCUACGGGAGGCAGCAGUGGGGAAUUUUGGACAAUGGGCGAAAGCCUGAUCCAGCAAUGCCGCGUGUGUGAAGAAGGCCUUCGGGUUGUAAAGCACUUUUGUCCGGAAAGAAAUCCUUGGCCCUAAUACGGUCGGGGGAUGACGGUACCGGAAGAAUAAGCACCGGCUAACUACGUG